GCAGCAGUUCUAGGCGGUUAUACUGCUGCAAGUUUUACGGGAGUUGUGGCUGGCCAGUUAUUGUCGUCUACACAUAUACAUGCACACAAAUGUAACUUCUCUUCAAACUGCAACAACAAUGAUGGCGGACAGGCAGAGAAAGAAGUUGCAGUGGUUCAUAAUCCCUCAAUCAGGCCACUUAAUCCUUUAUCUUCAUUCAUCUAUUAACUUCCUUUUUCCACUGCCAUCGGCAAAGAAGGUGGAAACCGAGACCAAAGCCACCGGUAAUACGGUGAAACAGCAGAGGACUCGAAACCGGUGUCUGGUAGGUUUCCUAAUGCUCAUCCGACGGUUGUUGUUCCAUUGAAGGUUGGAUCAGAAAAGAUAGAGAAGGAUACCAAUCAUGUUUUCCUUUGUCAGGAUCAAUCGCUUAAGACCUAAAAAACGAAAGAACUUGACCAAAAAUCAAAGAUGAACAACAUAAUAGAGCUUCCCUGUCUUUGCUUUGCUCAUUGUGUUGGUAAGUAUGAGACAGACGGAAGCUAACUGCAACCUUGUGUUAGUGUUGCCCGUAGGAACGGACGAAGACCUGUGCGGCAGUGCCGAACUCUGCAAUGAUUUACGAGAGUUUAUUUAUGAAUAUGGACUUCCAGCCGGGACAUCAUGCUCAUUCUUUUAAGGAGCUCUCGCAGCAUGGCAGGGUAAUUAUGAGACAUUAUCCUGUAAAGUGGACCUUCAUGUAGAAUGUGUACUAAAAUAGAUAGCUCUAUCGUAUGAUGUCGAUGUCAAAUAACUGUCUACGUCAACCAGAGAUCAUGCUACUCUUCAUUUGACAUGUUGUGUGAGUUAAUUGUAAUGCCUGAAGAACCCGUAGAACCAUCUGAGUCAUUUCAGAAGUAGAUGAUUCAGAACCGAGAGUGGCUGUUGAGGAGGACGAAAACGGUAUUUUAUCAAGUCAAUGCACUUUCAGCUAUGAACAAGUUGGGGUUAAGUCAGAGGACCAUAUUACUGGAAUCGAUCUUAAGAGAAGAGAGAGACUACUUCAAGUUAGAGGGCGAUUCACUCUAAAGGAACCUACAUAUUUCCUUGAACAGCUAAAAUGGCUUUGUUGGUUUUGCUACCCAUAUCAAUGACAAUAACAAGACAUAUGAGAAAGCUUGGAGUUAAAAUGGCUUUGUUGGUCGAAUCUUCUUUGCAUGAACCAUCUUUGGAGGUAUAAUUUAGUAAUUUAGAAGGUUUCCCAUUAUUAUCAAAUCUUUCGUCAUGUUCGGGUGGCAAUUUCUUACACGUUUGUUUAGAAUACAAAAAAUAAAAUACUUUUGUUAUUUAAUCAUUGAUAUGCCCGUCCACUCGACGGGUAUAGAACUAGUUGUUUUAGUGAUAAGCUAAUGUUUGGUUAGCCUUGGAUUC